AUCUCUAGAGCUACAGCCUUCGAUUAAAGCCUGUCGGCCAGUCCGGCGGAGACGGUGCGCCCGCGCACAAGCGCGACAUACUCCUACGUUGACGUUGGAUAUUCAAAAUAUCUCAUUCGAUAUAGUGAAGUGUGAUCCUGGUUCUGUGCUUGUGUUAUUAUCUACUCUUUAUUUAUGCGAUAGAGGGAUAGAUACUGUUUGUAAACAGUUUUGUGCAAACUUUGUGAAGGAUCUAUGUUAUUGCUUCGCGCGAAUCUGGAAUCGGAUCAUCAAUAAAAUCUGAUUAGAUGGCGUAGUAAAGCAGCGACAGAUAUCCCUCACAAAUGUUAAUAAGCCUGAUGGAAGGCGACACGAUAGCCACGAACACUCUCAUAUCAUCCAUAAAAAAAUUCAACAGCGACGGCAGGCAACACGGCACUAUAAAAGCUCUAUUGAAGAACUUCAUAUUACCAGAAACAGAAAUGGCUAUAAAAGAAACUCAAAAAAGUGGCAAUAAAUAUAUAUACUCAAUACCUGCUAAACCGCCUUUACCCACAAUGACGGACCGAAUUAAAUCAAUAAAUGACGCAAAACAGGCAUUCUUAAAUUCCACGGUCAGCUCCACUGCACCUGUCACUUAUCAAACAGAGAAGGAUAAACAUACAGUCCACUACGCACAAAUCGCCAUAACAACAGAUAGUGAAGACUCCAGGAGCACUGGCGGAGGGCGAGGCAUGAAGCAUUUGAGCGCUACAAAUAACAAACAAUACAGCAUUCCAGUUAAUGUAUCCCCGAGUAUAAGGAAACCAAUGGAACCACAACAGAGAAAAGUUAGCUUUAAAAUAAAAAAUGCCGCCACUUCCUAUAAACGACCACCCCUAGCUAAAACGAUGACUAUAACAAGUAGUAAAGUAGCAGAACUAACAAAAAAAUUCAACAACUUAGAAUCGGAGUCACAUAUUGCCUCAUUCAAACAAUCGAAACUUGCAAAAACUUUAGAGGAAUUACAAUCCGCGUCACGAUGUUCAGCCAGUAACAGCUCCACACCCUCGUCAACACUCAGCUCAAGUCCAAACAUUAAAAUUGUACUGCGACACAGGCGAGGUUCCAAAAAACGCAACAACAGAAAACGAUGUUCGAGUAUGGAAUCAGUCGACGAUUUACUAAUUGCAGACAGUUCAAACAAGAUUCGCAUUAUACGGUCCAAAUCCGAUGGUACAAAAAUGCCGAAAACUACGAAGAAACGUUUAAAGUAUCAAGAUUCAAGCGAACAACCAAGUGGAUCAGAUUCUGUUGAUGGUAGUCCGAUAAAAGUUAAAGAAGUAGAAGCAAAAAAAGACUCCAAGCCAACAGAAAGUAACGUAGUCAAAAAUGUUAUUAAGAAAUUCGAAUGUGAAAUUACAGCUCAAUCAAAUUCCAGCAAUACGUUCAAAAGAUUACCUGAUAAAACUAAGAGUACAACACCUGUUAAAGAAAAACCAAAAGUACCUGAAAAGAAAUCAUCACUAGUGUUAACCAAAAACCUUGUUGUGAAGGAUGGCAUUCCAAAAAUAAAGACGAUCAAACCCAUUAUAAAUGAAUUAGCCAAGCUAGAUAAUACAAAAGACCAAAGCCCACAAACUGUUAAGAGGAAAGAACCCCUGUAUGACCGAAAAAGGUACAAAACGAACUACAUACACUCCGAAAAAUUACCUCUAAAAGUCGUUGAAAUAAUACCAGAAGAUAUUCACGAAGGUAAUGCAGUAACAGUUACAGUUAGUAAUGACCAGAAAGAAGAAGUUCCAACUAUUAACAUUAUUACGUCUAAUGAAGGAGAAAAAGCAUAUCAGGAUAUCAACCCAUCAAUUACUCCUAACGAAUCAUUCCUGUGGCGCCGGAAAAGUAGUAGUAGUACUCAAAUAUAUUCAGAUUCUGAAAAAUCGGAUAACUCAUAUAGCUUCGUUAGUGUUACUAUGAAUGGCUCGAUGAUUAGUUGUUCGGAUGAACCACAAGAAACCGCCCCCGAACAAUCUCAAGUUGAAUCAAAUGAAGUUCAAGUGAAUGUUUCCACUAGUGAACAGAAAUUGGAAUCCAGUGAGGAUUUCGAAUGUAAUCUCGUUGAAGCUUGCAAUAAUGAAAUUAUAAUAGGUUUCACGUCUAAGCCCAAACAAGAGGAAGUAGAAGAUUAUUACGAACCUUUAGAACCAAGAGACAACGAAAACAUUGUUGUAAUUCCGAUUAAAAGUGUAGACAGGACUUCUAAAAUAAAUUGUCCUUUGCCGGAAAUUCCUAAGAUUGAUAAAAAUGUGGACGAAGACGACGCUACGGAAAAAGACAAUAUUUACCAAUGCUUACUGGAAAUGAGAUCACAUCCCGAAGGUGAUGAGAGUAGUCUACAUAACUAUGAGCUUUGCGAUAACGAACUUGAAGAGAGAACUCGUGGUGAUGGCGACAGUGACGAUGGGUAUGAAUACUGCAAGUCACCUGACAAACCUUACUGCUUAACUUCCAGCUCUGGUAUUCAAAUAGCCGAAGAUUUCCAGCCUUUUGGCAAAAAUAACAACAAGAACUAUAACAUCUCAAAGUCAGUAAGUGGGACAUCUACUGUAAGCUAUGAAAAAAUUGGAUCAGAAAGGAUUUAUGAGAAAAUCCCUGCUAGGACUGCAAAGUGUAAGAAUAGCAGUCCUACGUAUAGUAGCAGAAAUUCUUUUAUAUCUGACUAUACCGUGUACAACGAGAGCGAAAACAUAUAUGACACCAUAAAGCAUGGCGACGCAACAUCACUAUCGCACUGCUACGAGAGCAUACCUAACAGCCCCAGUAUGGUAAAAAUGCGCAAUGAUAUGAAGAAGGCGGUGUCCAAUGUGCAGAAGCGUCUCUCAUUUGACACGGUAUCGAACAUCAGCCAGUCGACGAUGUCCAGCGAGCAGAAGACCAACAGCCUGUACGGUCAGAGAUCGGUGAUCAGCUACAAUGGUCAGGAGAUAGCGUUCCAAGUACCUAGUAGCGAGACCAGUGUGAGCGACAGGAGCGAUCGCAGCGACGACUGGGUCGACGUGUCCGACGAAGAAAAAAAUGAACAGAAGAUCAUUAUCGUGCGCGAGAGAAGUCGUGGCAGGAAGAGUCCGAUCAGCUGGUCGCAGAAAGUUCGACAUCAGUGGCAGAAGUCGCCGAAACCAAACGACGUUGAUAAAGAAUGUGACAGCAGUGAUUCUGGCCACUUGUACGAGUCGCUGGAGCCGGCGCCCGCUCUCCACCCCCCUCACUCCGCCCCUCCCCUGCCCCUGGAGGAAGACUUCGACUCCUUCGAUAGUGAUACGGACACUGAUGAUCACGAUAAGUCCUCGUACGCCCCUGCAGCACCUACGUUACCUGCUUCGAGACUUCCCAACCCGCCUACUGGCGGAGGACAAUACACCCUGACGAAAAUAGCCAGCGCCGCGCAAAGAAAAAUGAGGCAAAUCAAGAGAAAUCUCACCAAACGAUAUUCCGUGGCGAUGGACAACAAACCGUUCACGAAGGCGGCUAACAACCAGACGAAUAUCUAUGACACGGCGAAGAAAAAAUCCCCUAUAUACGCCAACUGUGAGAGACACGAGCCAGUAUACACGAAUAUCAGCUUUAACGACUCACGAACUGUGCUAAAUAAGACUGAAAUUCCCUUGACAAAGGUGUAUGGGUCGUUGAAAGAGGAACUGAAGACUGCUAUUUCUGACAAGAGAGGUAGUAAUGGGGACGUGCCGCCCCCGCUGCCGGACAAGCCUCCUCCUGAGAAGCCGGUGACGCCCACCAGUGAGACCAGUAAGAAGGAUGGUGGGACGCUGUCGAGGAAGGCGUAUUUCUCCUUCAAGUCAAGGUUCCGUCGAGCUACGUCGCUGGCUGUGGACAUCAAUUCCGAUGUGCCUAGUGCUCUGAAGAUCACCAAUUCAACUUUCUACUUGACUGAUUCGAUGGAUGGUGACUCCGGAUUUAGCAAUUGCAGCGACAGCGGGCAGCCAGGCAGCACGGAGACGCUGUCACCGGAGAGCGCACCCCGACGCCGCGACGAAUUGAAGCGGCUGCUGCCGACGCUGUCGCGCAAGGACAAGAGCCCGCGCGCGCGCACCUCGUGGUACGCCGAGUGCGGCGCCGACACCACGCCCAGCUCGACGCCUAACACUUCCACUACUUCUUGGUACGCAGAAGCAGGGUUAUACCAAGCGGGGAACAUCUCGUCAUCAUCAGGGGCGUCGUCAGGGUCGCACCCGGCCAGCCCGCUGCCCCACUCGCUCUUCACCCACGAACCGCUGUACCAGUUCUACAACGCAGCUAAAGUUGAGUCGGUGUGCCGUGAGACCGGGGACUCUGACUCGGACGCUUACGAGGCAGGGUCUCAGCGCAGCGCCAACACUUCAGCGAGCGAGUCUGCGCCAUCGCGACCUUCGGCAAUGGCGCUGGUGGCGCCACGCGGCCCCUCGCGCACUCUGUGGUGCGAGGUGCCGGAGGUCCUCAAUUCUGCUGUGCUUAGUUCCCUAGCUCCGGCACAGAAGCGUCUCCAGGAAGCGAAGUUCGAGCUGCUGACAUCAGAGGCUUCGUACCUGAACUCGCUGAACGUGCUGGAGGCGAACUUCAUCGCGCACCCCGCCUUCCGCGACCCGCAUAUCAUGCCGCGAAAUGACUGGGAGACACUCUUCGCGACUAUUCUACCUGUUCGUAAAUGCUCGCAGCUGCUAAUGAACGAGUUGGAGAAGUGCUGGCAGGACAACAUCCUGCUGCAAGGCAUUUGCGACAUCGUGCGGCAACAUGCUGAGCAGCACUUCAGCGUCUACGUCAAGUACUGCGAGAAUCAGGCGCUCAUGGUCAAAGCGCUGCAGCGGCUGCAAACCAAACCUGCCUUCGCGAAUGCGCUUAAAAAACUAGAAAGCCACCCGUCAUGCCAGUCCCUCUCUCUGCACUCGUUCCUGAUGCUGCCGAUGCAGCGCGUGACGCGGCUGCCGCUGCUGAUGGACGCCGUGCUCAAGAACCUCAACAGCGAAGACCUGGAGUACCACGCCUGCGCCAGGGCACUCGUCACGCUUAAUAAUUACGUGUCCCAGUGCAACGAAGGAGCCCGGAACACAGAGCGAAUAGAGGAGAUGUGGCGCCUCUGCCGCAGCAUCGAGUUCCCCGCGCACGUGCGCCAGCCGCCCGCGCUCGGGCCCGCCUGCUCGCGCCGCGACCGCCGGUCAGUAUACACACUAUAGUUGUGCCAGAGGUGUGGCGCCUCUGCCGCAGCAUCGAGUUCCCCGCGCACGUGCGCCAGCCGCCCGCGCUCGGGCCCGCCUGCUCGCGCCGCGACCGCCGACCCGUCCGUUGGCUGGUGCGAUCAGGCGAGAUGACGCAGCUGGUGUGGAAGUCGGACGAGCUGAAGCUCACGUUCGGCAAGAAGUUCCACAAGGUGCCGCUGCACCUGUUCCUGUUUAAUGACCUGCUGGUCAUCGCCAAG
rnacentral:misc_RNA from 1 species